rnacentral:rRNA from 1 species
CAAGUCGAACGAGAAAGUGGAGCAAUCCAUGAGUAAAGUGGCGUACGGGUGAGUAACACGUGGGUAAUCUACCUCUUGGUGGGGAAUAACCCUGGGAAACCGGGGCUAAUACCGCAUAAGCUCGGAAGAGGAAGCCCGAAAGGGGCCGAGAGAGGAGCCCGCGGUCGAUUAGCUAGUUGGUGAGGUAAGAGCUCACCAAGGCGAUGAUCGAUAGCCGGCCUGAGAGGGCACACGGCCACACUGGCACUGAAACACGGGCCAGACUCCUACGGGAGGCAGCAGUGGGGAAUCUUGCACAAUGGGGGCAACCCUGAUGCAGCGACGCCGCGUGAGCGAUGAAGCCCUUCGGGGUGUAAAGCUCUUUCGGCCGGAACGAUAAUGACGGUACCGGCAGAAGAAGCUGCGGCUAACUACGUGCCAGCAGCCGCGGUAAUACGUAGGCAGCGAGCGUUGUUCGGAGUUACUGGGCGUAAAGAGUGCGUAGGCGGUGCUCUAAGUUUGGUGUGAAAUCUCCCGGCUCAACUGGGAGGGUGCGCCGAAAACUGGAGUGCUCGAGUAUGGGAGAGGUAAGCGGAAUUCCUGGUGUAGCGGUGAAAUGCGUAGAUAUCAGGAGGAACACCUGCGGUGUAGACGGCUUACUGGACCAUGACUGACGCUGAGGCACGAAAGCGUGGGGAGCAAACAGGAUUAGAUACCCUGGUAGUCCACGCCCUAAACGAUGCAUACUUGGUGUGAGCGAUUCAUUUCGUUCGUGCCGGAGCUAACGCGUUAAGUAUGCCGCCUGGGGAGUACGGUCGCAAGGCUGAAGCUCAAAGGAAUUGACGGGGGCCCGCACAAGCGGUGGAGCAUGUGGUUUAAUUCGACGCACCGCGAAGAACCUUACCUGGGCUC